GCAGUUCUCUUCUCAGGCUACUCUAGCACAGCUGUGGCCAGCUGCACUCAGCCUUCAGCCCAGCCAUGGAUUAUAUACCAGAUGAUUCCUGUUCAUUGAAAAUACUGGAAACAACAAGGAAUACAUCACACUGCCGAGAAAUUGGAUCCACCCAGAGAGACCAAAGGAAAGCUAUGACAUUUGAGGAACAGGCAAACAUUUCUCCUGCAAGCAUUUACUGAAGCAGACUAUAAAAACAAGUUUGGAUACUCCACCGGAAUGCUGUCACAGUUCUGAAUUUGGAAACUGAUAUUACCAUGUCCGUAAAGGACAAAGAAUGGAGGCUCCAAAUGUUGUAAUGAGUAACGCUUUUUAAAACUCAGAAAACUGACCAACAUCUGAGAACUAACUUGAUCCAGCCAAAUAUUUCUGGGUAUAAGAAGAGGCAAUGAUAAUUAGAAUUGCUGCUUGUAGAUAGGUAGUUUAAACUACACACAGUAGCUGGAUGUCUUCAAGGUAAAAGCAACUGAAGAGCAUUAGUGUUCAAGUAUCAUUAACCUCUCCAAAACGUUUCUUGGCAAACGGUUCUGAAGGCCUUCACUGAGUUUCUGUCAUUCUUCC
rnacentral:lncRNA from 1 species